rnacentral:rRNA from 1 species
ACGGAAGGCAGCAGUGGGGAAUAUUGCACAAUGGGGGAAACCCUGAUGCAGCGACGCCGCGUGAGUGAAGAAGUAUUUCGGUAUGUAAAGCUCUAUCAGCAGGAAAGAAAAUGACGGUACCUGACUAAGAAGCCCCGGCUAACUACGUGCCAGCAGCCGCGGUAACACGUAGGGGGCAAGCGUUAUCCGGAUUUACUGGGUGUAAAGGGAGCGUAGACGGCUUUGCAAGUCUGAAGUGAAAGCCCGGGGCUCAACCCCGGAACUGCUUUGGAAACUGUAGAGCUAGAGUGCAGGAGAGGUAAGUGGAAUUCCUAGUGUAGCGGUGAAAUGCGUAGAUAUUAGGAGGAACACCAGUGGCGAAGGCGGCUUACUGGACUGUAACUGACGUUGAGGCUCGAAGGCGUGGGGAGCAAACAGGAUUAGAUACCCUGGUA